AACGAACGCUGGCGGCAGGCUUAACACAUGCAAGUCGAACGCCCCGCAAGGGGAGUGGCAGACGGGUGAGUAACGCGUGGGAAUCUACCCAGAUCUUCGGAACAACUGAGGGAAACUUCAGCUAAUACCGGAUACGCCCUACGGGGGAAAGAUUUAUCGGUUCUGGAUGAGCCCGCGUUGGAUUAGCUAGUUGGUGGGGUAAUGGCCUACCAAGGCGACGAUCCAUAGCUGGUCUGAGAGGAUGAUCAGCCACCCUGGGACUGAGACACGGCCCAGACUCCUACGGGAGGCAGCAGUGGGGAAUAUUGGACAAUGGGCGAAAGCCUGAUCCAGCCAUGCCGCGUGAGUGAUGAAGGCCUUAGGGUUGUAAAGCUCUUUCAGUGGGGAAGAUAAUGACGGUACCCACAGAAGAAGCCCCGGCUAACUUCGUGCCAGCCGCCGCGGUAAGAC
rnacentral:rRNA from 1 species